AAAAUACUCCCUUCGUCCGAAAAUACUUGUCCUAGAGAUGAAUGUAUGUAGACUUAUUUUAGUUAUAGAUACAUUCAUUAUAUUCAUUUUUAGGACAAGUAUUUCCGGACGGAGGGAGUAUUGC
rnacentral:pre_miRNA from 1 species